GUUGUCUUAGCUCAAUUGGUAGAGCACAUGGUUUACAACUAUGUAGUUGUGGGUUCAAUUCCCGCAGAUGGCA